rnacentral:rRNA from 1 species
GAGUUUGAUCCUGGCUCAGAUUGAACGCUGGCGGCAGGCCUAACACAUGCAAGUCGAGCGGUAGAGAGAAGCUUGCUUCUCUUGAGAGCGGCGGACGGGUGAGUAAUGCCUAGGAAUCUGCCUGGUAGUGGGGGAUAACGCUCGGAAACGGACGCUAAUACCGCAUACGUCCUACGGGAGAAAGCAGGGGACCUUCGGGCCUUGCGCUAUCAGAUGAGCCUAGGUCGGAUUAGCUAGUUGGUGAGGUAAUGGCUCACCAAGGCGACGAUCCGUAACUGGUCUGAGAGGAUGAUCAGUCACACUGGAACUGAGACACGGUCCAGACUCCUACGGGAGGCAGCAGUGGGGAAUAUUGGACAAUGGGCGAAAGCCUGAUCCAGCCAUGCCGCGUGUGUGAAGAAGGUCUUCGGAUUGUAAAGCACUUUAAGUUGGGAGGAAGGGCAGUAAAUUAAUACUUUAGCUGUUUUGACGUUUACCGACAGAAUAAGCACCGGCUAACUCUGUGCCAGCACG